GGGGAUGUUUUUGGGAUUCGACAGGCGUAGAUUCGCAUUGACUGCGAUUCGUAGGUUACGUCUACGUAAAAACGUUACAGUUAAAUAUAACUGCAAAUAACAAAAAUUCUUACGCAUUAGCUGCUUAAUUUAGCGCAUGCGUUGCUCUUUGUCGGUUUACUCGUGGCUGACACUGAGUAUCAACUUUAGCGAGUUACGUUUAACUAUCUCACCUGAAUAGUUGAAAAGAGUCUUAACAGGUUAGCUAGCUCAUCCUAGCCCUGUUAUAUGGCGUUUUGAGCUAGUGAAGUUCAAGUAAUAUAACUAUGAUCGUAGAGGUCAGUGACGGAAUGCGUUUGGACAGGGGUUCAACUCCCCUCAUCUCCAUCG
rnacentral:tmRNA from 2 species